ACGCGCGGCCACGGGGCGGUCGCUGUCCCGCAGCCCCGGGAGGUCCGUGCCCACAGCCCGCGCGGCCCGGGACAGUCUUCCUGCGGGUCGAGGACCAAACGGAUAUGCACCGGCUACGGGACACAGGCAGUAUUUACACUGAAGCAUCAUACCCAGCCUCACGCAAGUAGGGAAGCUGGACGUCGCAGAGGCGUCUGCUUUCCAGAAGACACGCUACGUUUCUGAGGAAGGACUGGUUUAGGUGUUUUAGUCUCACAAAAAUAACACACAGGGACUUCAUGUCAAUGGCCUUUUUGCUAUAAAAACUGAUAGAAAUUCAACAUAAUCAGGAAGGAAAACUGAAAUAAAAAGAAGAGAUGCCUGUGAUUUUACGACGUGAGGAACUGGUCUGUGUGUGGCAGUGAAGGGAAACAGCAUCUCCAGGGUCACGACAGCGAAGGUGUCCGGCUUUGACUAAUCAAGAUUUACCUGCCUAGGGCUGCAGAGGCCCUCCUUUCCGGAGCCGAGGCCCAGAGGCCAGGUCGGCUCCGCCCUCGGGAAGAAGCCUGAGAAUGGACGGCGAAUGGGCGACAACGGCCAGCGCGUGCUGGCCUGCCUUCUGUUUCCACGGUUUGGGAUGCCGCACCGUCGGAAAUGAAUAGCACUAGAGGCCAUCUUCUCCUAAAACAUAAGAAAGUGCUCUCUAAAACAUAAUAACUAUAGCAAAAUCAUCUGAAAGCAGAUGAUACCAGUGAACAGAAUCUUGUAAUAUUUAAAUAGCUGAGUUAGAAGGCUUUAAGUUUUUCAUGGUGUGAAAAUUAUCGUUGUCUAGAAACUAAGGCUUCUUAUAAGGGAAAAUGUUAAUCUUUGCUUGAAAUGAAAAGAGAAUGGGAGAAAACUUCGAUCACCCAUCAAUAAGUUUCCGUAAUCCUCACUUAGAGAAAUCUCCAGAAGCUAUUUCGUUAUCUAACCGCCUUCAUCCCGGCCCUCUGGCAGAACCUGGCUUUUGUUUGUUACGUGCUGAUCUCCCCUCCACCGUUGCACACUGGCCUUGAGUGGCCUCAUCUUCCUCUUCAUUGACAUGCUUCCUCCAUACGAUAAAUUCACAUUUACCACCAUACACAUUUAUAGCCAAACCUUCUGUCCCCGUGCAAAGGGAGUUCCAGCAAAGGCAUGCCCAAUGGUGAGGGUGGUGUUGGUCACAAAUGUUAUUAUUCUAGAAAUUACAUCUGCUUAAUCCAAAACAUUAACUGAAAACAUUAUUUGGUGAAUAGUGCUCUUACCUGCAAAAAGAAAUAGAUGCAUGGGAGAACAUAUACUGUAUUCUACAUACAAUUCAUUUUUUAAAAGAUAUUUUCAUUUCAUAUACCAUCACUUUCAAUGGGAUAAAGUCAACCUUAUAAAAAAAUUUCAAGUUGCUUUUCCUCCUAAAGAAGUAUCUCCUGCUAGCUCAAUCAGUAGUCACCUCUAACACAUAAUGCUUCUCCUGAUGGGAGUUCCAUUUAGAGAAAGUUACAAGAAUCCACCACUCAGAGUCAUACUUCUGUGUAACACGACACAAAAGUUUGGUAGCAGUUCAAUGUCAUUUGCUUGAAGGUUAAUGUGGAAUACUGUUGCUAAGGAAUAUUCGAAAACUGCCAAGACCUUCCUGAAGAACAGUUCAGCACCUUUAUUUCUGCAAUUAUGCCUACUUUGGGAGAAGGGGGUUGUAUUUAUUUGUAAAUAUUGGAUAUUGAGUAUAUGUGAGACUGCAAAGCUUAACAAUUAAGUUCUAUUUGGAUGUGUGACAAUAUUCAGACCUCAUAUAUUGCAUAACUAAAAUGUCCAUGAAGCUCUGAGUAAAACUGGUCUGAGAGAUUUUAUAUUGGAGCAGAUAGGAAAUCGUAAACGCAUCCUGGAACUGAAGGGCUCAGCACAUAAUCCCUGGGGUGCGGGUGGCAGGUCAGACCUAGGCUGAGAUAGAAAGGGGAAGCUUCCUUGUUCAUCUCUCUGGUCAAGUACCUCCUUCUCCCUUAGGUUCUCACUGUUAUAGCCAGUCUGAGAAGUGCUCCUAGUUCCAGAAUUUUCUUUCACUUUCCUCCCAUCUUGAUGGUCACGCACUCCAAUCUCAAACAGACGUGAGAGGGAAGGACCCAAACAACAUGUGUGUGGGGUUGGGGGAGGGAAGGACUAUCACUGCUUUAAGAAAACCAGGCAGCCUUUGUCAUGUAGCUGAGCAGUUAAAACACCAGCUCUGGAGCCUGUGGCUGGCUAGAUUCAAACCCCUGUUUGAUCAAGUAUUAGGUGUAUGACCUUGAUGGUAUUAUUUAACUUCUUUGUGCUUCACUUUGCUCUUGUGUAAAAUGCAGAUAAAAAUCAUACCCACCUGGCAUUACUGUUCUUCGUUUAAAUGAGUUGAUACACAUGAAGCCCUAGGAUAAUGCCUGGGACAAAGUAAGUGUAUGUCAAGUCAACGCAGAAUGCUUUUCAACAUUUGGGGAUAAAAAAAGUUGCUUGAAAUAUACAUGAAAUUUAAAUAAUUUCAGUGUAAAUAAUUUAUGAAUAUAAAAGUUUUCACUAAUUUUGAGUAGUAUGGCAAAUGAUCAACUAAACGAUUGAAAUGCUGAAUUUUAUAUUAUAUUAAGAAAAUUUUAAUUUGUACAUAAUUCUAUGUCCAAUUUUGGCAUGUGCUUCUGCAAAAUUUUAAAUACAUUGAAUUUUUGUGAAUUGUACUAUUCAAUUAAAUGAAUAUUUAUUGAACGACUACUAUAUGGUAAGGUUGUUCCAAUUAUCUAUUAUUGUGGGAAAAACUUCCCCAACCCUUAGUGACAUAAAGUUUUAUUGUGCUUAUUAUAGUGUGGAUCAGAGCACAGUGGUAAUGGUCUGCCUCUGCUCCGUAAUAACUGAGGUCUCAGCUGGGUUAAGAUGGUUGACACAAUUCUGCUGAGGCCCUAUGUCUGGAGCCUCAUUUCUGGCUGUCUGCUGGGUUUCUCAGUUCUCCACGUUGCAUUUGCUGAGGCUGCAAUGUUAAAGAUGGCUUCUUCAUUCAAGGCCUGCUGCCUGCACUGGGAUGGCCAGAGCAGACGGGGCCAGUCAGCUAUCUCUCUCUUCAUGUUGCCUCUGUGUGGCUAGCUUGGGCUUCUGAGAGCAUGGCCUUGUCGGUUCUUAGACUUUUCAGGUGAUGGUUCAUGGCUCCAAGAGCAAGUUUUCCAAGAAGCCCAGCUAGAAGCUGCAAGGCUUUUAAUGACAUCCUCGGAAGCCCCAGAACAUCACUUUUGCCACAUUCUAUUGGUCAGUAAGUCAGUAAAGCCAAC
ensembl:lncRNA